rnacentral:rRNA from 1 species
AUGCCGCAGCAGCAGCCGGGGGCCAGCGCCCACGUCCUGGACUCUGUACCACUCUUCGUCGUCAUCCUCGGCGCCGCUCACGUCCUAGCCCUCGUACGCGAUCCCUCCUCCUUCUCCGAGCGUUCGGAUCUGGUGUUCUGGAUCUACAAGCUGGCUUCCCAGAAGCAGCCGACGCGGAGCAAGACGCACUGA